GGCCAUAUUGAAGAAGAUAUGGUGAUACCGACGAUGAGGACGACGUUACCACAUGUGUUUGAGUCGUUAGUUUUUUUUUGGUUUUAAUCUAAGUUAGUGGUACGAGUUUUAUUACUUUAGGUGUUACGUCUUUACUUAAUUUUGGUUUUCUAAAGUCAAUAGCUUUAUUAAUUUGGUUUUGAAUUCACGUCUUUAGUCAAAGUUAGAAUAUCAUGGGCAGCGCUGAUCAUGGGUUUAUGUGUAAGAGUUAAUCGGAAGAUUUUUUAAAGGUGAUUCCUAGGUUUAGGUUUCUCAUGGGUUGUUUUAUGAGAUUUAUUCUAUGGUUUAGAAUGUCUCAAAGAUUGUGUUUUAAUUUUCCAUAGUUUGGAAAAUUUGUUGGUUAUAGUUUUUAACCAUUACGGGGAAGUUCUAGUAGAACGCUUUACGUCAAGUUGUUUAGUCCAAGUUAUGGACUGUCCGAGUUAAGGACAAUUGUUUGUGGAGUUGCAGUUGCGCUCACGGGAUAUAUUCCUAUUGUCAAAAUCAAAGAAGAGUUGAAGUUUUGUCUUCCUUGUCUAAAGUUGAAGUUGAAGUUUUUAUCCGGAGGAGUUUACUGAAUCUUUUCCUCGACAAUAUUGUCCACGUCAUACAUGGUCUGCUUUGUGAUGCAGCUUUGCGUGUUGCAUCCCACGUUUAUCGUGCGGGGGAGUAUUGGAGAUAUAUUGGAGAGCAAGAUGUGUAUCUUGCGAACCAAUUGUUAUGGACCGUUGAAGUCCGAUUAUGAAGUGAAGCCCAUGAAGUCUAUGAAACCCAAACCGAAGAAUAUUAUAUAAAUCCACUUAUGAUAAGGAUUAGUUAUUUUAGAUAUAUAUCAUAAGAUUUAGAUAAGUUCUAUUUUUAGUUGAGAUAGGUCUAAGUAUUGUGUAUAUAUACAACUCUCUUGUAAAUCACUAAGAAACAACACAAUAAUAUAUCUAUUCUAUUAUACUUUACAUGUACUCAUAUAAAUGAGCUUCAUAUCUUCUUUUUUUGUGCAACAGAAUACUUAUCAUUAAAAAGGCAAUUAAGGCCCAAGGUUUAGAGAUACAAUGGUUGAUAAUUGGGCUUUCGCAAGCCCAUUGGCCAGGGUAUUCAGCCUGUGGAAUGAAAUUAAACCGACAGAAAGAAAACGGAGAAGCAUAGGAGAAAGCUAGAGAGUCGGCAUCUGAUAGAACGCCGAAGAGAUCCAUCGUCUGUUUCCUCUGUGUGAUUGCUCUGUGGAGCACUUGAGAAUCUGUUCGAAGACAGAUGUUGGUGAAGCCUACUGCGUUCAGGAGGGCUCCUCGGAUUGCUAAGGCCUCAGCCAUGCAAGGAGAGGAUACAUGUGUCUAAGGCUACAGAUUUGCGCGCAAGCUCUGAUGAUUCUUGGUCCAUGAAGAGCCAGGCCAAACCAGCCGAAUUUGAUUUCCAGGAGAUAGUAGAAUCAGGGAGAUCAAGAGGUCGAGGCUUGAUUGGCAAUUGGGUGACCCUUUUGGUCAAUGAGAUGUACCAGGCGAUCCAUGGGAGAAGGUUCCCUACAACCCCAGUUGGGGGAAGGUUCUUGGCUGAUUGCGAGGCCUAUAGGAUGGUGAUGAAAGCUGAGUCUGGUUGAAUGGUCAGGGCGAGGUCCAAGGCACCAUAGUCCAGAUCUCCUUCGCAAAAGUGCAGUGGAGGAGGAUGUGGUCUAGCGUCUCUGGUUCUCCGCAUCGACAACGCCUGGUGUUGUUGAGCAUACCUCUCCUUUGAAGAUUUUCAUAUCUAAAAUGUUUUAUUUCAAAUAUUAUACCAGAUCAAGUGGAUACACGAUAUAUAUAUAUGGUCAUUUUAUGUAUAUAUGGUCAUGUUUGUUUGCAAGGUGUUAGUGGCAAUAACCAGCAACAACGAUUAACAAUAUCGAUCGAUCAAAUAUUGUUUUUUGUUCGU